UGCAAGUCGAGCGAAUGGAUUAGAGAGCUUGCUCUUAUGAAGUUAGCGGCGGACGGGUGAGUAACACGUGGGUAACCUGCCCAUAAGACUGGGAUAACUCCGGGAAACCGGGGCUAAUACCGGAUAACAUUUUGAACCGCAUGGUUCGAAAUUGAAAGGCGGCUUCGGCUGUCACUUAUGGAUGGACCCGCGUCGCAUUAGCUAGUUGGUGAGGUAACGGCUCACCAAGGCAACGAUGCGUAGCCGACCUGAGAGGGUGAUCGGCCACACUGGGACUGAGACACGGCCCAGACUCCUACGGGAGGCAGCAGUAGGGAAUCUUCCGCAAUGGACGAAAGUCUGACGGAGCAACGCCGCGUGAGUGAUGAAGGCUUUCGGGUCGUAAAACUCUGUUGUUAGGGAAGAACAAGUGCUAGUUGAAUAAGCUGGCACCUUGACGGUACCUAACCAGAAAGCCACGGCUAACUACGUGCCAGCAGCCGCGGUAAUACGUAGGUGGCAAGCGUUAUCCGGAAUUAUUGGGCGUAAAGCGCGCGCAGGUGGUUUCUUAAGUCUGAUGUGAAAGCCCACGGCUCAACCGUGGAGGGUCAUUGGAAACUGGGAGACUUGAGUGCAGAAGAGGAAAGUGGAAUUCCAUGUGUAGCGGUGAAAUGCGUAGAGAUAUGGAGGAACACCAGUGGCGAAGGCGACUUUCUGGUCUGUAACUGACACUGAGGCGCG
rnacentral:rRNA from 1 species